rnacentral:lncRNA from 1 species
AGAAUCUGAAAAGCAACUUUGGUCGUUCAAUGACCUAUGCAAUCUGAUAUUUUCUUCUCUGUCCUUUACAAGGCCAGCAGCAGCCCUUUUUAUACAAAAUACAAUGGCAACCAAUUCCUAACUUGUAGGAUGUGUAUUGAACUAGGAUUCUAUCAUAUGUGUAUUGAACUAGGAUUCUAUCAUGAUCCUUAACAUGUAGGAUUUAUAUGUAACUAGGAUUCUAUAAUAUU